GACGAACGCUGGCGGCGUGCCUAAUACAUGCAAGUAGAACGCUGAAGGAGGAGCUUGCUUCUCUGGAUGAGUUGCGAACGGGUGAGUAACGCGUAGGUAACCUGCCUGGUAGCGGGGGAUAACUAUUGGAAACGAUAGCUAAUACCGCAUAAGAGUAGAUGUUGCAUGACAUUUACUUAAAAGGUGCAAUUGCAUCACUACCAGAUGGACCUGCGUUGUAUUAGCUAGUUGGUGAGGUAACGGCUCACCAAGGCAACGAUACAUAGCCGACCUGAGAGGGUGAUCGGCCACACUGGGACUGAGACACGGCCCAGACUCCUACGGGAGGCAGCAGUAGGGAAUCUUCGGCAAUGGACGGAAGUCUGACCGAGCAACGCCGCGUGAGUGGAGAAGGUUUUCGGAUCGUAAAGCUCUGUUGUAAGAGAAGAACGAGUGUGAGAGUGGAAAGUUCACACUGUGACGGUAUCUUACCAGAAAGGGACGGCUAACUACGUG
rnacentral:rRNA from 1 species